CGGUACGUACUGGCAUCGUCGGUUUCUCCCUUCUGACGAACCAUGAUGUCAUUUAUUUGGUGUUGUGGGGAAUCAGGACUGUUACUUUGAAAAAAUUAGAGUGUUUAAAGCAGGCUCACGCUUGAAUACAUUAGCAUGGAAUAAUGAAAUAGGACGUUUGAUUCUAUUUUGUUGGUUUCUAGGAUCGACGUAAUGAUUAAUAGGGAUAGUUGGGGGCAUUAGUAUUCAAUUGUCAGAGGUGAAAUUCUUGGAUUUAUUGAAGACUAACUACUGCGAAAGCAUUUGCCAAGGAUGUUUUCAUUAAUCAAGAACGAAAGUUAGGGGAUCGAAGACGAUCAGAUACCGUCGUAGUCUUAACCAUAAACUAUGCCGACUAGGGAUCGGAUGAUGUUAAUUUUUUAAUGACUCAUUCGGCGCCUUACG
rnacentral:rRNA from 1 species